CAUGUCCUUUUGAUUUUAAUUUAAGGUCUAAUCUGCUCAAUGAGGAAUUAAAUUGCCGCAGUAAUUUGACUGUGCGAAGGUAGCAUAAUAAUUAGUUUUUUAAUUGAAAGCUUGUAUGAAUGAUUGGACGAGAUAAUUACUGUCUCUUUUUAAUUUUGGUUUAAUUUAAUUUUUAAGUAAAAAAGCUUAGAUUUUUUUUAAAGACGAGAAGACCCUAUAGAGUUUUAUAUUAUGGGUGAAUUGGGGUGUGGUUAGGAUCAUUCUUUUGAUUUUCUUUAAUAUUAGGUUGGGGUGACUUGGAGAUUUGUUAAACUCUCUAAUCUUUGAAUCAUUGAUGAGUGAAUUUAAAAUCUGGAUUAGUUUAAAUUUAAAAUAAAUUACCUUAGGGAUAACAGCGUAAUUUUCCUUUUGAGUUCUUAUUGUUUGGGAAGUUUGCGACCUCGAUGUUGGAUUAAAAUUAAUUGUUGGCGCAGAAGCUUAAUAAUUUGGUCUGUUCGACCAUUAAAAUUUUACAUGAUCUGAGU
rnacentral:rRNA from 1 species